CCAGCGCCCCAGCGCCCCGGCCACGCGUCGUCGGGUGCACUUGAGCGUGCGCGUGUCUGCGCGCGUGCGUGUGUGUGUGCGAACAGUGCGCCUGUGUGAGUGAGCCCAUUAUUGGUCGUUGACUCUAGUGCAGUUACUUGCGGGCGAGUCGCCGCGGGGCGCGCUGGCGCAGCUGCGUCGCGGACUUCGUGGACGCCAAGGGUUGGCGGCCUGCUGUCCAGUGGCGUAGACGAAGCCGGCCGAUCCGCGUGAACUCGCCUGACUUCGCGGUUUCAAUGCAAUAGGGCGAGGCGGACUGCACCGCGCCGUCCUCGCGUCUGCCGCCCGCCGAAUCCACAAGUGAGG